rnacentral:rRNA from 1 species
UACAGAGGUCCCAAGCGUUGUUCGGAUUCAUUGGGCGUAAAGGGUGCGUAGGUGGCGCGCUAAGUCAGGUGUGAAAUUUCGGAGCUUAACUCCGAAACUGCAUUGAUACUGGCGUGCUUGAGGUACUGGAGAGGAGAUUGGAAUUUACGGUGUAGCAGUGAAAUGCGUAGAGAUCGUAAGGAAGACCAGUGGCGAAGGCGGAUCUCUGGACAGUUCAUCGUGACACUGAGGCACGAAGGCCCAGGGGGAGCAAACGGG